UGGCAACGGGUCGGGUUCGGGUCGGGUGGAGAAAAAACCCACCCGCGACCGCACCCGCGGAAUAAGCCCAAACCCGCCCGCGACCACACCCGCGGGUGAAAUCCCACACCCGCACCCGCACCCGUCGGGUUUCGGGUGGGUUUCGGGUCCCCGUCGGGUGUGCGUGCUGUGACCAGCAGACCGGCUGACGCCAGGUGAAGGCCCACUGGCCCAGCAGCAAAAAACAGUUCACAGCAGCACUCGUCGGUGUAGCUGCACUUGAGGAACCUCCUGCAACCACAGCACUGCUCUUUGUGGGAACUUGACGACUGCUCCUGCUCGGCCUCGAAGCACCUUGGUCAGACAUCAGACUCUGCAAUUUACAAAUUAGAGCUGCUCAA